rnacentral:rRNA from 1 species
CCUACGGGUGGCAGCAGUGGGGAAUAUUGGACAAUGGGCGAAAGCCUGAUCCAGCCAUGCCGCGUGUGUGAAGAAGGCCUUCGGGUUGUAAAGCACUUUCAGUGGGGAAGAAAGCCUUGGGGCUAAUACCCUCGAGGAAGGACAUCACCCACAGAAGAAGCACCGGCUAACUCCGUGCCAGCAGCCGCGGUAAUACGGAGGGUGCGAGCGUUAAUCGGAAUUACUGGGCGUAAAGCGCGCGUAGGCGGUCUGAUAAGCCGGUUGUGAAAGCCCCGGGCUCAACCUGGGAACGGCAUCCGGAACUGUCAGGCUAGAGUGCAGGAGAGGAAGGUAGAAUUCCCGGUGUAGCGGUGAAAUGCGUAGAGAUCGGGAGGAAUACCAGUUGCGAAGGCGGCCUUCUGGACUGACACUGACGCUGAGGUGCGAAAGCGUGGGUAGCAAACAGGAUUAGAUACCCUUGUAGUC